UACGGGGGGGGCAAGCGUUGUUCGGAAUUACUGGGCGUAAAGGGCUCGUAGGCGGCUAACUAAGUCGGAUGUGAAAUCCCCAGGCUCAACCUGGGAACUGCAUCCGAUACUGGAUGGCUUGAAUCCGGGAGAGGGAUGCAGAAUUCCAGGUGUAGCGGUGAAAUGCGUAGAUAUCUGGAGGAAUACCGGUGGCGAAGGCGGCAUCCUGGACCGGCAUUGACGCUGAGGGGCGAAAGCCAGGGGAGCAAACGGG
rnacentral:rRNA from 1 species